GAUGAACGCUGGCGGCGUGCCUAAUACAUGCAAGUAGAACGCUGAAGGAGGAGCUUGCUCUUCUGGAUGAGUUGCGAACGGGUGAGUAACGCGUAGGUAACCUGCCUGGUAGCGGGGGAUAACUAUUGAAACGAUAGCUAAUACCGCAUGACAACAGUUAUUGCAUGAUAACUGUUUAAAAGGGGCAACUGCUCCACUACCAGAUGGACCUGCGUUGUAUUAGCUAGUUGGUGAGGUAACGGCUCACCAAGGCGACGAUACAUAGCCGACCUGAGAGGGUGAUCGGCCACACUGGGACUGAGACACGGCCCAGACUCCUACGGGAGGCAGCAGUAGGGAAUCUUCGGCAAUGGACGGAAGUCUGACCGAGCAACGCCGCGUGAGUGAAGAAGGUUUUCGGAUCGUAAAGCUCUGUUGUAAGAGAAGAACGAGUGUGAGAGUGGAAAGUUCACACUGUGACGGUAUCUUACCAGAAAGGGACGGCUAACUACGUG
rnacentral:rRNA from 1 species